AUAAGUCUGCUGCAGAGCAGACUUAAUUUUGACAGAUCGAUUGUUAAUUUCUUUCUUGCUCGAUCGGUCGAUCGGUGUUUGUUGUUUACUUCCUACAUAAUUGUUCCCUCUAACCGGUAAUUCACCUAUUUGUCUUUGGUCGUACAUUCCUGCUGCCUUCGAAAGAUCCAAGACCAGAAAAACGACGGAACAGGUUGAAUGAAACCUUCUUUCGAACAGAUUUUACCAUUGGCAUCUUCUACGGACAUAUUUCACCAUUUGGCAAGCAUGUCGACGGGCAAAACAUUUGGCAAGCAGCUGCUACAGGAGAACUGAUGAAUUCCACUAUUAUCUGCAACAGAAAACACCACCGUGAAUUAUGCAGGGGACCAGCGGAAAUUUGAAGUAUGUCGAGCUUCUAUCGAAAACAGAAGUCAAUAUAAGUGCACGUUGAACAAAGACCGUACGGAACACUUUCUGGCUUGCAUCAAGCAGAUCCUGAUUGAGAUCCCUAGUGGUUAUUUGCGAAAUAUUUCAACAACCCUCAAUGUGCCCAAAACCAAGUUUA